rnacentral:rRNA from 1 species
UACGUAGGGUGCAAGCGUUGUCCGGAAUUAUUGGGCGUAAAGAGCUCGUAGGCGGUUUGUCGCGUCUGCUGUGAAAACCCGAGGCUCAACCUCGGGCCUGCAGUGGGUACGGGCAGACUAGAGUGCGGUAGGGGAGAUUGGAAUUCCUGGUGUAGCGGUGGAAUGCGCAGAUAUCAGGAGGAACACCGAUGGCGAAGGGCAGAUCUCUGGGCCGUAACUGACGCUGAGGAGCGAAAGCAUGGGAGCGAACAGG